rnacentral:rRNA from 1 species
GAUCAUUAAAGAGUUAGGGUCUCACAGGCCCGACCUCCAACCCUUUGUUGUUAUAACUACCUCGUUGCUUUGGCGGGACCGCUCGGUCUCGAGCUGCUGGUCUUCGGCCCGGCAAGCGCCCGCCAGAGUCUACUCAAACUCUUGUUUUAACCGGUCGUCUGAGUUAAACUUUUAAUUAAAUUAAAACUUUCAACAACGGAUCUCUUGGUUCUCGCAUCGAUGAAGAACGCAGCGAAAUGCGAUAAGUAAUGUGAAUUGCAGAAUUCAGUGAAUCAUCGAAUCUUUGAACGCACAUUGCGCUCCCUGGUAUUCCGGGGAGCAUGCCUGUUCGAGCGUCAUUACACCACUCAAGCACUGCUUGGUAUUAGGCCAUCGUCCCCCGAAAGGUGGGCGUGCCUCAAACACCUCGGCGGAGCCUCACCGGCUUUGGGCGUAGUAGAAUUUCUCAACGUCUUACAAGUACCGGUUUGGUCCCUUUGCCGUAAAACCCCCAAUUUUUACAGGUUGACCUCGGAUCAGGUAGGGAUACCCGCUGAACUUAAGCAUAUCAAUAAGCGGAGGAAAAGAAACCAACAGGGAUUGCCCUAGUAACGGCGAGUGAAGCGGCAACAGCUCAAAUUUGAAAUCUGGCACUUGUGUCCGAGUUGUAAUUUGUAGAGGAUGCUUUUAGGCAGCCACCGGUCUAAGUUCCUUGGAACAGGACGUCAUAGAGGGUGAGAAUCCCGUAUGUGACCGGAAAGGCACCUUCUGUAAAGCUCCUUCGACGAGUCGAGUUGUUUGGGAAUGCAGCUCUAAAUGGGAGGUAAAUUUCUUCUAAAGCUAAAUACCGGCGAGAGACCGAUAGCGCACAAGUAGAGUGAUCGAAAGAUGAAAAGCACUUUGGAAAGAGAGUUAAAAAGCACGUGAAAUUGUUGAAAGGGAAGCGCUUGCAAUCAGACUUGUCCUUGAGUGUUCCGCCGGUCUUCUGACCGGUCUAUUCAUUCUUGGACAGGCCAGCAUCACUUUUGGCGGCCGGAUAAAGGCAUUGGGAAUGUGGCUCAACCUUCGGGGGGAGUGUUAUAGCCCAGUGUGUAAUACGGCCAGCUGGGAGUGAGGUCCGCGCU